GUGGGGAAUAUUGGACAAUGGGCGAAAGCCUGAUCCAGCCAUACCGCGUGUGUGAAGAAGGUCUUCGGAUUGUAAAGCACUUUAAGUUGGGAGGAAGGGCAGUAAGUUAAUACCUUGCUGUUUUGACGUUACCGACAGAAUAAGCACCGGCUAACUUCGUGCCAGCAGCCGCGGUAAUACGAAGGGUGCAAGCGUUAAUCGGAAUUACUGGGCGUAAAGCGCGCGUAGGUGGUUUUGUAAGUUGGAGGUGAAAUCCCCGGGCUCAACCUGGGAACUGCCUCCAAAACUGCAUGACUAGAGUACGGUAGAGGGUAGUGGAAUUUCCUGUGUAGCGGUGAAAUGCGUAGAUAUAGGAAGGAACACCAGUGGCGAAGGCGACUACCUGGACUGAUACUGACACUGAGGUGCGAAAGCGUGGGGAGCAAACAGGAUUAGAUACCCGAGUAGUCC
rnacentral:rRNA from 1 species